GUGAAUUUUUGCAAGCUUUUUACCAGAAUUGUCUGUGAGAUGGCAGAGAUAGACUGGGUGAAAUGUUGCAAUUAGACUACUCAACCAAUCAGCACAGCAAGCCCCACCCCCAAAGCUGCUGAACUCUGACAAAGUACAGCUGCAGAGCGGUGACUUUCAAGGGAAUAAAUCAAUUUCCACAAACUUCAUUUUAGAUCCUGGUUGCUCCAAAGGUUCCUGCAGUAAGGUUCAGCUGCAAUACUGAACAAACAUGAUGUGAAAGAAGACGCUGUCCAUCCACUCCUAAGCUGACUGAAGAGCGUGCAGCAGAGCGUCCACCAAUCCCUCACAUUCCCUCAGUCUGCGCCGAGCCUCUGCCCCGUCUGAGCUCACAUUUCUACAGAAACAAAGUCACACACAUCAAGCUUAAGAAGCGUGCGUGCAUAGACGAAGAUUUGCCCGAGGAACUGAAUGAAAAUUUGACCAAUAGGGUUUUUUUUAAUUGGAAUAAUCACAAGUCAAUAGUUUGUGCUAAAAGUAAUUAUAAAAUUAUGCAUUUCAAAAUAUGACACUACAGUCUCCAGAAUCCCAUCUCAUUGACUCUGGCUGGCAUCCAGAGUGAAAUACCAAUAAAGCAGUAAGGAUACUAAAUCACAGUACAAUUAUCCACAGAGCCUGCUCUAAUUAUAAACAGUACUCCUAUAACUACUAUUUAUAGUUUCACAAAAAUUAGGAAAAGGAAGAGGAAAAGCACUGAAGGCAGUGAAAGUGUUUUUAAUAGUCCUAAAGAAGUGUAAUAUAACAAGCAUACAGAGAGGAUGACAAUUACAGCCAGAUGUCUUACUGUUCAAUAAAAGUGCCAUGUAAACCCAUAUCAGUCUUCCCCAGCCGUGUGAUUUUUAGAGUUUCCAUGUGACCCACGGCCUCCAUCCUCUCUGUCUGCCUCAGAAGUACAAUGCAAUAAAGCUAGACAGCUUUAGGAAUAAUUUUAAAAAAAAAUUAUGAAUAUAAAU